rnacentral:rRNA from 1 species
AUUGAACGCUGGCGGCAGGCUUAACACAUGCAAGUCGAGCGGAGAUGAGGUGCUUGCACCUUAUCUUAGCGGCGGACGGGUGAGUAAUGCUUAGGAAUCUGCCUAUUAGUAGGGGACAACAUUCCGAAAGGAAUGCUAAUACCGCAUACGUCCUACGGGAGAAAGCAGGGGAUCUUCGGACCUUGCGCUGAUAGAUGAGCCUAAGUCGGAUUAGCUAGUUGGUGGGGUAAAGGCCUACCAAGGCGACGAUCUGUAGCGGGUCUGAGAGGAUGAUCCGCCAUACUGGGACUGAGACACGGCCCAGACUCCUACGGGAGGCAGCAGUGGGGAAUAUUGGACAAUGGGGGGAACCCUGAUCCAGCCAUGCCGCGUGUGUGAAGAAGGCCUUAUGGUUGUAAAGCACUUUAAGCGAGGAGGAGGCUACUGAGACUAAUACUCUUGGAUAAUGGACGUUACUCGCAGAAUAAGCACCGGCUAACUCUGUGCCAGCCGCCGCAGUAACAC